rnacentral:ncRNA from 1 species
CCACCAUCGAGACCGGCAGAGGGACAGGCCCUUUGAAGCCGGGGCAGCCAGCGCAGCGCAAGCCGCGUAGUGGUGCCAAAUCCUGCGGAGACCGGGCAUCUGCCCCUUGCGUCUGCCGAAAGAUGGUUC